ensembl:snoRNA
CUCUGUUUAUCUUUGGGACCUGCCAGCUACGGCAGCCUCCCUUCCUAGCCACAGAAGAGUGUUCUUAUUUCUGACAAAGUUGUCACUAUUUAAAUGGGUUAUGAUUCUGACAUCAAUAAGUAACAUUC